rnacentral:rRNA from 1 species
AAGUCGCACGAGAACACCUCAGCUUGCUGGGGUAAGUAAAGUGGCGCACGGGUGAGUAACGCGUGGGUAAUCUGCCCUCGAAACUGGGAUAACCCCGCGAAAGCGGGGCUAAUACCGGAUGAAAUCCAGUUAGCUUUGGCUAUAUGGAUCACAGGUGGCCUCUGCAUGCAAGCUACUGUUUGGGGAUGAGCCCGCGUACCAUUAGCUUGUUGGUGGGGUAAAGGCCCACCAAGGCGACGAUGGUUAGCUGGUCUGAGAGGAUGAUCAGCCACACUGGAACUGGAACACGGUCCAGACUCCUACGGGAGGCAGCAGUGAGGAAUUUUGCGCAAUGGGGGUAACCCUGACGCAGCAACGCCGCGUGAGUGAUGAAGGCCUUCGGGUCGUAAAGCUCUGUCAAGUGGGAAGAACCCAUUCCGGCACAACAAGCCGGGGUGCUGACGGUACCACUGAAGGAAGCACCGGUUAACUCCGUGCCCAGCAGCCGCGGUAAUACGGAGGGUGCGAGCGUUAUUCGGAAUUACUGGGCGUAAAAGGGGCGCGUAGGCGGCCGAUUAAGUCAGAUGUGAAAUCCCGGGGGCUUACCCCCGGAAGUGCAUUUGAUACUGAACGGCUUUGAGUAUGGGAGAGGGAAGUGGAAUUCCCUGGUGUAAGCGGUGAAAUUGCGUAGAUAUCAGGAGGAACACCGGUGGGCGAAAGGCGACUUCCUGGACCCAUACUGACGCUGAGGGCGCGAAGGCGUUGGGGAGCCAACCAGGAUUAGAUACCCCUGGUAGUCCAGGCAGUAAACGGUGAUCACUUAAGGGUGUAGCGGGGUAAUUGACCCCCUGCUGCGCCGGAGGUUACGGCAUUAAGUGAUCCCGCCUGGGGAGUACGGCCGCAAGGUUAAACUCCAAAGGAAUUGACCGGGGGCCCCGACAAGCGGUGGAGCAUGUGGUUUAAUUCGACGCAACCGCGAAGAACCUUACCUGGAUUUGACAUCUCGGGAAUCCCGCGGAAACGCGGGAGUGCCAUUCGGGGAGCCCGAAGACAGGUGCUUGCAUGGCUGUCGUCAGCUCGUGUCGUGAGAUGUUUGGGUUAAGUCCCCGCAACGGAGCGCAACCCCUAUCUUCAGUUACCAGCGAGUAAAGUCGGGGACUCUGGAGAUACUGCCCCGGUCAACGGGGAGGAAGGUGGGGAUGACGUCAAGUCCUCAUGGCCUUUAUGUCCAGGGCUACACACGUGCUACAAUGGGCUGUACAGA